rnacentral:lncRNA from 1 species
UUUUUGGGCCACACUCAUGGCGUAUGGAAGUUCCCGGGUCAGGGAUCAAAUCCAAGCCACAGCCGCAACCUAUGGGAUCCUUCACUCACUGCGCUUGGCCACGGAUUGAACCAGCACCAUCACAGAGACAAGCCAGAUCAUUAACGCACUGGACUAUAUCACCAUAGUGGGAACUCCUAAAUUUGGAUAAAGAAAAUGCGGUACAUAUACACAUGGACUACUACUCAGCCAUAAAAAAGAAUGAAAUAAUGCCAUUUGCAGCAAUAUGGUUGGACCUACAGAUUAUCAUACUGAGUAAGUCAGACAAAGACAAAUACCCUAUGAUAUCACUUAUAUGUAGAAUCUAAAAUAAGACACAAAUGAACCCGUCUACAAAAGAGAAAGAGACUCAUGGACACAGAACAGACUUGGGGUUGCCGAGGGGAAGGGGGCUGCGGGAGGGGAGGACUGGAAGUCUGGAGUUAGCAGAUGCAAACUGUUACGGACAGGAUGGGUAAACAACGGGGUCCUACUGUACAGCACAAGGGACCACAUUCAAUAAAAGGAGAUGGGGGAGUAAAAGGCCCUCAGCCCCUGCCCAUCAUGUUUUCUGCCUACGUGUGAGCUGACACUGCCAGGGGGCGGGCACUGUGAACACCUGUCUGCUCCCAGAGCUCCACAUGGCAGGAUGGUACAAGUGGACAGAUGCUCCACUCAUGUCUCGGGAUGUUUUCCGCUGUACAUCACAGACUCCCCAGCUAUCAGCGGCUUGAACAAUACAGACAGUCAUCAUUUCAUUUAAUAAGAAGUCUGGAGCUGAGCUGAGGUUGCAGGGCUCAUUCAGUGGCUCAAUAAUGUCAGGAACCCUUCCCAUCAUCCUUCUCUAUCAUCUUGAGAACCUGGUGUUUCCCCAUCUCAUGGUUGCGAGACGGCUGCCACAACGCCAAGCAUCACGCACGUAAAAGACAAUACCCCAACCAGGAAGGGAGGGGCAGAGCUUUCUUUUUGAGCUUCUCUCCCUCUUGAUAUUCAUUCUCUCUCUUGAUAUUUACUCUCUCUCUUUCUCUUCCAACCCACUGCAGGCAAGGAAAUGUUUCCCAGAAGCCCCCUGACUGAGUCACAUGCCUGUUUUAGGCUGAUGCCUGGCAAAGACAGUAAGGAUUAACAAGAUUGCUUUAGUGCUAUCACGUUUUAAAUAUACAAUUAUUGUGGCCCUGAGGGAAGGAGCCACCUUCCGAGACACUACCUGUCAGAGACUUGACACAAAGUUUAGGUCCUGUGAACAAGGAAGGAGGCAGGUGGCUGCUGCAUGGGCAAACUGGAGCCCAUCCGGAACACUUAACCCCUUAGAUCAUUGUCUUGGCAUCUUUCAUGCUUCCUGAAAUUUCCCGUGCCUUGUCCAGGGCUGUUUGAGGCUCAAGAAAAAGUCAGUCUUGUUCGCUAAGUAUUUUGGGCUCUUCUACUUGUUGCUGUAACUGUGAGCACCUCCCCCUGCCUUCCUACCUCCCUCCAUGGUGGGUUAAAGCCGAAAAACACAAAUAGGAUGAGAAAGGCUACACUAUAGGUGAAGGUGUUAGAAAAAAGCCACAAGAGAAUGAUGAGUAGAUGUUGCAGACCUGCAAGUUAAAAAAGAAAAUGUUGACAAAAUUGGGUUGAUAUGAAAAGAUAUGUGCUGUUUAUAAGCAUGCAGACAUGAAAGCCUGAAAGGAAAAGCAUGAAAAAGGACAUGUCAGGCAAAUGUUAACCAAAGGGAGCUGGUAUUACUAUGCUCAUGGCGGUUAAAUACACUUCAGGACAAAAGGCAGCAUUAAGGAUGAAAAAGGUGACCAUGUAAUAAUAAAAGAGCCAAGUCACCAAGAAGAGAUUUCCAUUUUAAUUUAAUUUUUUUUUCUUUUUUUUUGCCAUUUCUAGGGCUGCUCCUGCAGCAUAUGGAGGUUCCCAGCCUAGGCCCUAGAAAAGAGAAAAAAAAACAAAAACAAACAAACAAACAAAAAAACUAACAGACGUAAUAGGAGAAAUUGAUGAGACUAUAAAUUAGUAGGAGACUUUAAAACCCCACUCAUAUCAAUGGGCCAAUCCUUGAGACAGAAAAUCAAUAAGGCAACAAAGAUCUUAAAUGACACAAUAGAACAGACUUAAUUAUUUUCAGGAAUUAUAUUAAAAAAAAAACAGAAUAUACACUCUUUUCAAGUGCACAUGGAACAUUCUCUAGGAUUGACCACAUACUGGGGCACAAAAUUAACCUCAACACAUUUAAGAGUACACAAAUUACUUCAAGCUCCUUCUAUGAUCACAAUGGCAUGAAACCGGAAAUCAAUUCCAGGAAAAGAAAUGAGAACAAAGCAACUACAUAGGAGACUGAACAGGCUACUAAAAAAAACCAAUGGGUCAAUGAGGAAAUCAAAAGGGAAAUUUAAAAAAAAAAAACCUUGAGACAAAUGACAAUGAAAACACAACCAUACAGAAAUCUAUGGGAUGCCACAAAAGCAGUUCUUAGAGGGAAGUUCAUAGCAGUACAGGCCUUCCUCAAAAAAAAAAACCUCCAAAUCUCAAGUAAAUAACCUACUAUACCACCUGAAGAAUUAGAAAAAGAAGAACAAACAAAACCUAAAGUCAGCAGAAAGAAGGAAAUCAAAAAGAUCAGAGUGGAAAUCAAUAAAAAAAGAGCCAAGAAACAAUAGAAAAAAAAAUCAAUAAAACCAAGAGCUGGUUCUCUGAAAGGGUAAACAAACUUGACAAAUCUCUGGCCAGACUCACAAAGAAGAGAGAGCCCAAAUAAAGAAAAUGAUAAAUAAAAAGGAGAAAUCUCAACCGAUACUGCAGAAAUACAAAAACAAAAAACAAAACCAUAAGAGAAUACUAUGAACAAUAACAUGCCAAGAGAUCUGCAACCUAGAAUAAAUGGACAACUUUCUAGAAAUGUACAGCCCACCAAAACUAAAUCAGGAAGAAAUAG